AGCUGAGGAAGCCACAGGGAACUCAGUCCAAGCCCGCUGUGAUGACAGCCAGUCACCUACAACAUCAGUUCCUGAGGUGCCUGAGACAGGAGAGUCCCUGUCAGAGUUGAAGCUGGAAGAAGGCUGGGAAGCUGGUGGCUCCUGCAUCGUCGUCAUUGCUGAGGACUGAGUGGCGACUGGAUGGUGGACAGCGGGUUGAGGUAGCCCAGUAGCCUGGAGAUGUCUCAGAGGGUAAA